AGAAUCAACGCUGGCGGCGUGCCUAACACAUGCAAGUCGAACGAGAAAGUGGAGCAAUCCAUGAGUAAAGUGGCGCACGGGUGAGUAACACGUGACUAACCUACCCUUGAGUGGGGAAUAACUUCGGGAAACCGAGGCUAAUACCGCAUAACACCUACGGGUCAAAGGAGCAAUUCGCUUAAGGAGGGGGUCGCGGCAGAUUAGUUAGUUGGCGGGGUAAUGGCCCACCAAGACGGUGAUCUGUAUCCGGCCUGAGAGGGCGCACGGACACACUGGAACUGAAACACGGUCCAGACUCCUACGGGAGGCAGCAGUGGGGAAUUUUGCGCAAUGGGGGAAACCCUGACGCAGCAACGCCGCGUGGAGGAUGAAGUCCCUUGGGACGUAAACUCCUUUCGAUCGGGACGAUUAUGACGGUACCGGAAGAAGAAGCCCCGGCUAACUUCGCGCCAGCAGCCGC
rnacentral:rRNA from 1 species